UCCUCCUGUCUUCCUCACGGCU
rnacentral:misc_RNA from 1 species